rnacentral:rRNA from 1 species
AUUGAACGCUGGCGGCAUGCCUUACACAUGCAAGUCGAACGGCAGCACGGGAGCAAUCCUGGUGGCGAGUGGCGAACGGGUGAGUAAUACAUCGGAACGUGCCCAAUCGUGGGGGAUAACGCAGCGAAAGCCGUGCUAAUACCGCAUACGAUCUACGGACGAAAGCAGGGGAUCGCAAGACCUUGCGCGAAUGGAGCGGCCGAUGGCAGAUUAGGUAGUUGGUGAGGUAAAGGCUCACCAAGCCGUCGAUCUGUAGCUGGUCUGAGAGGACGACCAGCCACACUGGGACUGAGACACGGCCCAGACUCCUACGGGAGGCAGCAGUGGGGAAUUUUGGACAAUGGGCGAAAGCCUGAUCCAGCCAUGCCGCGUGCAGGAUGAAGGCCUUCGGGUUGUAAACUGCUUUUGUACGGAACGAAACGGCCUUUUCUAAUAAAGAGGGCUAAUGACGGUACCGUAAGAAUAAGCACCGGCUAACUACGUGCCAGCAGCCGCGGUAAUACGUAGGGUGCAAGCGUUAAUCGGAAUUACUGGGCGUAAAGCGUGCGCAGGCGGUUAUGUAAGACAGUUGUGAAAUCCCCGGGCUCAACCUGGGAACUGCAUCUGUGACUGCAUAGCUAGAGUACGGUAGAGGGGGAUGGAAUUCCGCGUGUAGCAGUGAAAUGCGUAGAUAUGCGGAGGAACACCGAUGGCGAAGGCAAUCCCCUGGACCUGUACUGACGCUCAUGCACGAAAGCGUGGGGAGCAAACAGG